GCCGAGUUAAGAUGUAAUAUCUUCAAUCGUAACAUGGUUUCCGCUGGACCUAAAACGUGUAUUGCAGCAAAUGAAGAUACAGCUCGACAUUUUCUCUGAUAUCUUAAUAUAAGGAAACGUUCUUCGGGACAGUCAAACUACAGAAAUUCUUCGUCAGUUAAUAAGUAAAAAUGACAUUUGAUAAAAUUUGGUCAUUCCAAAUAUAAAUUUAUGAAGAAUUGGUAAUUAUUUGUAAAAACGAAAUAUGAAAUUUUGUUUGAUUUGUGUGAAGUGCCGGUAAUUUGAUGGUGCAUUAGGUUUUUGGGAGACUGUCAAACAAGACGAUAAAGGAUUUAUAUUUAUUAAUUACGUCAAAAGAUCUUCGAUCGGGUUUCAGAUGCUGCAGAAAGUAAAUUUGAAUUGCUUCGCAGCUGCAGAAAACCAGAAUCUAAUCAUCUAGAUCUCCAGAAAAGAAGAUUUGUAUGCUUAGCUUGUGUCUUGAAGAUAAGAAAGGGGCAGUUCUCCAUAGCAUUAUUGAAAUCAGUAAUAAUAUAGUUAAACUGGAGCAAGGGACAGGCAUGCCGUCGUGUGAAUUUUUGCUGCUUGUGGAUUACCUAUUUAUGUGGCGAAAGU